CUUGGAAAAGCAGGGAGGUUGUAUACAGGGGCAGGUGCCCACCAGGAAUCAGGAUGCUAUGGCUCUCACAAAAGGAUGGGAUGCAGAUGCCGAUUUGUAGUAAAUGUUAUAAGGGACCACUCCCAGCACCUCUCUGUCCACACUGGUGACUCAUUUGGCCAGUCCGUCUGCAGAGACUCGGUUUCGCAGCAGUGAAGAGGAAAUGUGGAUGCAGACACACACAUGGAGAAAGCCAUGUGAACAUGAAGAUGGCCACCCGUAAACCAAGGAGAGCAGCUGGGGACAGCGCCUUCCUUCAUGGCUCUCAGAAGGAGUAGACACUGCCAACAUCUUGAUUUCUGACUUCUGCCUGCAGUUCUGUUGCUUAAGCACCCCCUCAUCUGUGGUACUUUGUUCUGGCAGCCAGCUGACAGACACGGGCAUCCUGUGGAUGGUGACCUGUCUGGACAGUCUGUGUUUCCCAUGACUGGGACUCACUUCUGCCCCUUUUCUCCUCCCACCAGGGGCCCUCAACUCAGAAGGAGUGGGGAGAGUGGUUCUUCCACCUCAGGUGGGUUUCCCCAGAGGUAUUGCUCUAAGGAAGAUGAGCCUUAGCUCUGAACUAAUGGUUUUAGCCUCCCUAGUCUGGAAGGAACAAUUUGGAGAAGUGGUGAAAGAUAUGGGCCACUCCCCAGACAAAGGAAAUGGCAACCCACUCCAGUAUUCUAGUCUGAAGAAUUCCAUGGACAGAGGAGCCUGGCAGACUAUAAAGUUCAUUGGGUCGCAAAGAGUUGGACACAACUUAGCGAAUGAACAACAACAACCACCUCUAAGAUCUGAGCUGUGUCUGGUUAUUUGCAUUCCAGGGACCAGCGGACCCCCAAAAUCCACCUGCCAAGUGACUGGUCAGUCCAGGGCUGUGCACAAGUGGAGGGAAGGGUGGUCAGGGAUGGGAUCCAGGUGGAAGGCACCAAAGCAGCAAGAGUGGGCCUGUGGGGAGGCAGUGGGAGCACCCUGACUGAUGCUGGAAGGAAGCCUGUCCCUGAGGCAGAUCUCACUUUCUCCUGGAGGCCAGGGGAGAGGGAUGGAGGAAGCAAAGCUUUGGGAAGAUUUGGGGAAGAAGCCUCUAGGAGCCCAGCUCUGUAAGAGCCUGCCUGCCACACUGCAGCAUGAACAAGCAUUUUGCAAACAUUCCCCAGAAAGACAGGCUCUGUCUUUCAGAACAAAGCAGGAACAGCAAGGCAGGAGGCCCAAUCAGGUUUUGAGUGAAUAGAACAGAAAGUCUCAACCUGCCCCAAACAGGAAUGUGUUCAUGGGGGACGAUCAGCAAGGAGCUUAGGAAACUGGGGUUUGGGGGUGGACAACGUUGUCAAGGUGAGAAGGUGAUGUCCCCAGUGUGUCCCUGGAGGGGAGGGACUGCCAGCUUGCAGACACCUAGACAGAUCCCACUCACCCCACCUCCCACUUUGUGUCCACACUCAGCCAGCCACCUUGGGUGUCCCUUGGCUUCUGUAGUGGAUUGAAUUGUGGUGCCCAAGAAACAUAUCCACCUGCAACCUCAGAAUGGGGACUUACUUGGAAUUUGCAGACAUUAUUAAGCUCAUCUCCAGAUGAGAUGAUCCUGGAUUUAGGGUGGGCCCUCACUCCAAUGACUGGGUCCUUGUAAGAGCAAGGGGGAAGAUGCUGGGAAUGAGGCAAAGAGGGGGAGGCCAUGUGAAGAUGGAGGGAAAUGGGGGCCAAGGAACACUAAGGGUCACCAGCGGCAAACAGACGCCAGAGAGGAGCAUGGGACACGUUCUCCCUCAGGGACUCCAGAGAGAACCAAUCCUGUUGACAAUUUCUAACUUCAGGAUUCAAGAACUGUGAGAGAAAAAGGCCAUCUUUAUAAGUUUGCACAUAUAAAAUAGAUAACUAAUAAGAAGCUGCUGUAUACCUCAGGCGACUCCAAUCGAUGCUCUGUAAUAGCCUGUAUGGGAAAAGAGUCUAAA